UGGCUUUUGGAAACCAGCUAUAAAAGCCUGCAUGAUCCACAUUUAAAAUCAUACUAUAGGCAAAAAGAUAUCCUGAGGAGAUUAAAGAAAGGCGGCUAUGUCACCAGCAAUAAUAAGGUUGUAUGUACCUUGAAGGAAUUGAAUAAGUACAGGCAGUAUCUCACCAGUUUGAAAUUAGACUUUGAAAGAAACUAUGUAAGAGAACAAAAAAUGAUUGAAAAACAAGUAAAUAAAUUUUAUGAAACCAAGAGAGCCUGUGAGAGUCAUGGCAAUACACAGUUCCAAGACUGGCUGUUACAAGAAAAUAAACAACUCCAGACCAAGAGCUGUUGAUAAAGCAAAGAUAUUUAGAUAUGAUUAGCUUGGAAUUAAACAAGCUUGGACACAUGGCAGAAAAGCAGAACGUACUCAAGAUAAAGGAAGAAGAAAGACGACAUCGGGACCACAUUAGAAGAAAACUUAGUCUCUGGAGACAAAUUGAAGAGGAAUGGAAAACAAAAGAAAUGUUACUUCUGUCAAAGAUUGGAGAAGAAGUAAAAACAGAAGCAAGAUUUGAAGAACAACGUAAAAAAGUCAAAGAAGAUGCUCAC